GACUAAGCCAUGCGAGUCAAAUGUUCUUCGUGAACAUGGCGUACUGCUCAGUAACACGUGGAUAACCUGCCCUUAGGUCUGGCAUAACCCCGGGAAACUGGGGAUAAUUCCGGAUAGAUCAUGGAUGCUGGAAUGCACCGUGGUCGAAAGCUUUUGUGCCUAAGGAUGGGUCUGCGGUCUAUCAGGUUGUAGUGGGUGUAACGUACCUACUAGCCUACGACGGAUACGGGUUGUGGGAGCAAGAGCCCGGAGAUGGAUUCUGAGACAUGAAUCCAGGCCCUACGGGGCGCAGCAGGCGCGAAAACUUUACAAUGCGGGAAACCGCGAUAAGGGGACACCGAGUGCCAGCAUCCUAUGUUGGCUGUCCAUAUGUAUAAAUAACAUGUGUUAGCAAGGGCCGGGCAAGACCGGUGCCAGCCGCCGCGGUAACACCGGCGGCCCGAGUGGUGGCCACUAUUAUUGGGUCUAAAGGGUCCGUAGCCGGUUUGGUCAGUCUUCCGGGAAAUCUGACGGCUUAACCGUUAGGCUUUCGGGGGAUACUGCCAGGCUUGGGACCGGGAGAGGUAAGAGGUACUACGGGGGUAGGAGUGAAAUCUUGUAAUCCCUGUGGGACCACCAGUGGCGAAGGCGUCUUACCAGAACGGGUCCGACGGUGAGGGACGAAAGCUGGGGGCACGAACCGGAUUAGAUACCCGGGUAGUCCCAGCCGUAAACUAUGCUCGCUAGGUGUCAGGGACGGUGCGACCGUUUCUGGUGCCGUAGGGAAGCCGUGAAGCGAGCCACCUGGGAAGUACGGUCGCAAGGCUGAAACUUAAAGGAAUUGGCGGGGGAGCACUACAACGGGUGGAGCCUGCGGUUUAAUUGGAUUCAACGCCGGGAA
rnacentral:rRNA from 1 species